rnacentral:misc_RNA from 1 species
AAUCAUUUAGAUAGUCAAUACUCUAUUUUGACAGCAUAUUCCCAUUUCACCAUCAGGGAAUUUCCCUACAUAUAUAAAUGCUACAUAAACAUGGGUCAGAAAAAAAGAUUUGAAUAUUUGGUAUGGACUUGUAUUUACACUGUUAUUUCUGUGUAUGCCAGAUCCCUUAUCAUUUCUUUAUGUUCCUUCUAUUUCAAUUGCUGCCGUGAGCUUCUGUAGUGUGGCAAGCAUCAACCCUUUUUAUGAUUUUACUCUAUUUGUGGUGAUAACUAUGAAAUCUGAGUAAUCGAGUCCUGCUUCUCCAUUUAACAGGUAAGGCUGUUUCUAUCGGAGGAAUCUCCUUCACAA